GACGAACGCUGGCGGCGUGCCUAAUACAUGCAAGUCGAACGCAGUGGGGACGGGUGAGUAACACGUGGGUAACCUCCCAUCAGAGGGGAUAACACUUGGAAACAGGUGCUAAACCGAUACUGAUGGAUGGACCCGCGGUGCAUUAGCUAGUUGGUGAGGUAACGGCUCACCAAGGCCCCGAUGCAUAGCCGACCGGAGGGGGGAAUCGGACACACUGGUACUGAGACACGGCCCAAAUGCGUACGGGAGGCAGCAGUAGGGAAUCUUCGGCAAUGGACGAAAGGCUGACAGGGCAACGCCGCGUGAGUGAAGAAGGUUUUCGGAUCGUAAAACUCUGUUAUUGGGGAAGCGGUAUCUAAACAGAAAGCAACGGCUAACUACGUGCCAGCAGCCGCGGUAAUUC
rnacentral:rRNA from 1 species